GCGGGGAUAGCUCAGCUGGGAGAGCGUCAGACUGAAGUACAACUUCAUUCUACUGACAUCUGAAGGUCGUGUGUUCGAUCCACACUCACCGCA
rnacentral:tRNA from 1 species